UUGGCUCUUAAACGGUUGAUCGAUGUAAGUAUGGGAGUCAUAGCACCUUUAUCAGAGCAGCUCACAAAGCCAUUGCCCAAUGCAAUGGUUCUUGUCAACCUGAAGGAACUAUCUGGUGGUGCUUACAAGCUUCUCCCUGAAGGUGACUCGGAUAAAAACUUUCCUGACAAAAACCAGCUUUUUUCGGGUUUUCUUAGCAUCGGUUAUUUCAGGUACACGCUUGGUUGUCUCUGUACGAGGUGAUGAGCCAUACGAGGAGCUUGAAGUACUCAAGAACAUCGAUGCUACGAUGAUUCUACAUGAUGUACCCUUCAAUGAAGACAAUGUUAGCAGAGUACAUGCAGCUCGGAGGUAAUAAUAUAAUAAAAAAUUCUCGCCAUACAAUCUUUUGAUGAGCUCAAAGUUAUGAGCUAACUGAUACUCUUCUUGUCUUUGAUUUGUAGACUAUUCGAGUUCCUAUCCGAGAAUUCAGUUAAUUUUCCCGUCAUUCACCACAUUAACUUCCCAACAGGGAUUCACAGGUAAGAUAGCCCUCUCCUCAGAACUUUGAUAUACGGUAUGAUGGUUUCUUUCUUGUUGCGCAACAAUGCAGGGACGAGUUGGUGAUCCACGCAGGGACAUACGCUGGGGCACUUCUAGUGGAUGGACUUGGAGAUGGUGUAAUGCUAGAAGCACCUGAUCAAGACUUCGAGUUUCUUAGGAACACUUCUUUCAACUUGUUACAAGGCUGCAGGAUGCGUAACACCAAGACGGUAUAUAUAAGCACAAACGAAUCUCUAUUAUUCUCAAACCCUUCCUUAGAAUGAAAAAGUAGUCACAGUGAAUUGUUUGUUGCAGGAAUACGUAUCGUGCCCGUCUUGUGGAAGAACUCUGUUCGACUUGCAAGAAAUCAGCGCUGAGAUCAGAGAAAAGACUUCGCAUUUGCCUGGCGUUUCGGUUAGUAAAAAAAAACAAAACCUUUGUUUCUUUUUGUGUUUCAAGAAAAUGUUUUCCUUUCUGGUUGUUGGAUUGUGUAAACGAAUGGAGUUUUGGAAAAUGGUGCAGAUUGCAAUAAUGGGUUGCAUUGUGAAUGGACCUGGCGAAAUGGCUGAUGCUGAUUUCGGUUAUGUAGGCGGUUCUCCCGGGAAAAUCGACCUUUACGUUGGAAAGGUGACGACUACCUUUAGUCUCGAGCUUCUUGGUCUUUUGAAGUAGAAUGUGUUUUUAUAUAUACAGUUUUUAAAUUUCUGUGGACAGACGGUGGUCAAGCGUGGGAUUGCCAUGUCGGAGGCAACUGAUGCUCUGAUCGGUCUGAUCAAAGAACAUGGUCGUUGGGUCGACCCACCGGUUGCUGAUGAGUAGAUUCAUUGUUAGGAUGAUCACGUGGCUGUAAGAAUCACCCUUGCUUCUCCAUAUCGUUUUCUCUAAAGAUCUUAUAUUGACUGAAAGUAAAACAUUGAGUUAUGUUUACAGCGUUUGGCUCUUAAACGGUUGAUCGAUGUAAGUAUGGGAGUCAUAGCACCUUUAUCAGAGCAGCUCACAAAGCCAUUGCCCAAUGCAAUGGUUCUUGUCAACCUGAAGGAACUAUCUGGUGGUGCUUACAAGCUUCUCCCUGAAGGUGACUCGGAUAAAAACUUUCCUGACAAAAACCAGCUUUUUUCGGGUUUUCUUAGCAUCGGUUAUUUCAGGUACA
rnacentral:lncRNA from 1 species